rnacentral:misc_RNA from 1 species
AAGUCGUAACAAGGUUUCCGUAGGUGAACCUGCGGAAGGAUCAUUAACACUAUAACAAUAUAUAAUCUAUAUUAGGGAACUUUAUGAUAUGUAAUAUUCGUUCAGCACAUUUAACUCUUAAAACCGGUUGAAUGUAAAACAAAUAAACAAACAUAAUAAAAUACAACUCUUAACAACGGAUAUCUCGGUUGAU